UACGUAGGGGGCAAGCGUUGUUCGGAAUUACUGGGCGUAAAGGGCGCGUAGGCGGCCUUCUAAGUCGGACGUGAAAUCCCUCGGCUUAACCGAGGAACUGCGUCCGAUACUGAAAGGCUUGAAUCCGGGAGAGGGAUGUGGAAUUCCAGGUGUAGCGGUGAAAUGCGUAGAUAUCAGGAGGAACACCGGUGGCGAAGGCGGGUCUCUGGGCAGUAACUGACGCUGAGGAGCGAAAGCGUGGGGAGCGAACAGG
rnacentral:rRNA from 1 species